UUUCCUACGGGAGGCAGCAGUGAGGAAUAUUGGUCAAUGGGCGCAAGCCUGAACCAGCCAAGUCGCGUGAGGGAAGACGGCCCUACGGGCUGUAAACCUCUUUUGCCGGGGAGCAAGCCUGAGCACGUGUGCCCAGGCGGAGAGUACCCGGAGAAAAAGCAUCGGCUAACUCCGUGCCAGCAGCCGCGGUAAUACGGAGGAUGCGAGCGUUAUCCGGAUUUAUUGGGUUUAAAGGGUGCGCAGGCGGGCUGUUAAGCCGGCGGUAAAAACUAAGGGUUGAA
rnacentral:rRNA from 1 species